GAUGUGAAGCAGCUGUCUGAUCUUGUGGAGAGUCCACACUGUAGACUGGAGACUCUGAGAUGGAAGUGGAGGUUGUCGUGAUCUCUAACCACCAUCAUCCCUGUGUGUUCCUCUGGACCUGACAGAGUAUCAUCAGUGUAUCUGGACUCUGUCCUUCUGCACAGUCUCUGCAGACACACUGAGACUCCUCCACUCCUUCUGCUCCACACUCAACCACCUCCUCCACCUGGACCUGGGUUUCACUUUGUCUUCAUUCAUUCAUAUAUUCUGAACCCAAAGUGCCUCUGCAGAUCAGUUCUGUUUAUGACAACAGAACUGUAGAUUAACACAUUUAAAUAGAUGUUUCUGCUUUGCUUUCUGUUGCAGCUCCACCCUGUGGAACGAUGGAGUUCUGCAGUUAAUUUCCACAUACUACUAAAUAUAUAUAUACCAUAUACAAUAUAUAUACCAAUACCAGCCGUUUUUCAUAUUAUAACAGAUUUGCUUGUAACAAACAGAAAGAAGUAGAUAAAACCUGAACCUGAGGCUUCAGUUUCUCAACUAACUACAAACAGAUUAUGUCUGGAUUUUGGUGGAAAGUCAGCUCCUUAAUAUUGUCUUUUGUAUGUGAUGUUUGAUGUAAAACAAAA